rnacentral:ribozyme from 1 species
AAGCGGGCCUUUGUCCACAAGCUCACCCUCCAGUCGUCCUCGCGGCUCCUCGCUGUGCCGGCUCUCGUCCCCCCGCUCCCCCCCCGACCCCUCGGACCCAUCCCACUGCUGGUUCACCUUCCCCGACCAACGUAACAUCCCGAAUGUCGAUGCCAACGAGGACCAAC